rnacentral:tRNA from 28 species
GCCGCUUUAGCUCAGCUGGUAGAGCACCUCAUUCGUAAUGAGGGGGUCACAGGUUCGAGUCCUGUAAGCGGCACCA